AUAUCUAUAAGCGGAGGAAAAGAAACCAACAGGGAUUACCCUAGUAACGGCGAGUGAAGCGGUAACAGCUCAAAUUUAAAAUCCGGCCUUUGCGGGCCCGAGUUGUAAUUUGUAGAGGACGUUUUGGACAAGGCUGUGGUUUAAGUUUCUUGGAACAGGACGUCACAGAGGGUGAGAAUCCCGUCUAAAACCAACGGCCGCGUCCAUGUGAAACCCCUUCGACGAGUCGAGUUGUUUGGGAAUGCAGCUCAAAAUGGGCGGUAAAUUUCAUCUAAAGCUAAAUAUUGGCCAGAGACCGAUAGCGCACAAGUA
rnacentral:rRNA from 1 species